rnacentral:rRNA from 1 species
GCGUGAGUGAUGAAGGCCCUAGGGUUGUAAAGCUCUUUCGGCGGGGACGAUAAUGACGGUACCCGCAGAAGAAGCCCCGGCUAACUUCGUGCCAGCAGCCGCGGUGAUACGAAGGGGGCUAGCGUUGUUCGGAAUCACUGGGCGUAAAGCGCACGUAGGCGGACUGUUAAGUCGGAGGUGAAAUCCUGGGGCUCAACCCCAGAACUGCCUUCGAUACUGGCAAUCUAGAGUGUGGAAGAGGUUGGUGGAACUCCGAGUGUAGAGGUGAAAUUCGU